rnacentral:rRNA from 1 species
UACGUAGGGCGCAAGCGUUGUCCGGAAUUAUUGGGCGUAAAGAGCUCGUAGGCGGCUUGUCACGUCGGAUGUGAAAUCUCGGGGCUUAACUCCGGGUCUGCAUUCGAUACGGGCUGGCUAGAGUGUGGUAGGGGAGAUCGGAAUUCCUGGUGUAGCGGUGAAAUGCGCAGAUAUCAGGAGGAACACCGGUGGCGAAGGCGGAUCUCUGGGCCAUUACUGACGCUGAGGAGCGAAAGCGUGGGGAGCGAACAGG